UGGGGAAUCUUGCACAAUGCGCGAAAGCGUGAUGCAGCAACGCCGCGUGGGGGAAGACGGCCUUCGGGUUGUAAACCCCUUUCAGUUGGGACGAAGCUUCGCCGGUGAAUAGCCGGCUGGAGUGACGGUACCUUCACAAGAAGCCCCGGCUAACUACGUGCCAGCAGCCGCGGUAAUACGUAGGGGGCUAGCGUUGUCCGGAAUCAUUGGGCGUAAAGCGCGUGUAGGCGGUUCGGUAAGUCCGCUGUGAAAGUCGGGGGCUCAACCCUCGGAUGCCGGUGGAUACUGUCGGACUAGAGUACGGAAGAGGCGAGUGGAAUUCCUGGUGUAGCGGUGAAAUGCGCAGAUAUCAGGAGGAACACCGAUUGCGAAGGCAGCUCGCUGGGACGUUACUGACGCUGAGACGCGAAAGCGUGGGGAGCAAACAGG
rnacentral:rRNA from 1 species